rnacentral:lncRNA from 1 species
UCAUAUUUCAUUUCGUUUCCAUUUUCUGACUUCCCUUACAGUUGGAGGUGGCCGAGUCCUUUCUGGUAGAGGUUGAGAUGAGUGAUGUGUGGCAUUUCCAGACCAAAGCUGUGCCCUCCUUCCAUGGCAGAGGCUGAGGAAUGGCAGAGUGCACCAUGCCGGAGCUCCCAUCCUUCCACCCCCAUGUGGACGGCUUCACACUGGCGUUUUUCCCCCAGUAAAACGCGGCAUGACUGAGCAACAUGCAGACGACUCGGCGUCGUUCAUGUUUGCUGAUCCAGGCUGAG